GAUGAACGCUAGCGGCAGGCUUAACACAUGCAAGUCGAGGGGUAGGAGAAGCUUGCUUUUCUGAGACCGGCGCACGGGUGCGUAACGCGUAUGCAAUCUACCUUUCACAGAGGGAUAGCCCAGAGAAAUUUGGAUUAAUACCUCAUAGUAUAAUUGAAUGGCAUCAUUUAAUUAUUAAAGAUUUAUCGGUGAAAGAUGAGCAUGCGUCCCAUUAGCUAGUUGGUAUGGUAACGGCAUACCAAGGCAACGAUGGGUAGGGGUCCUGAGAGGGAGAUCCCCCACACUGGUACUGAGACACGGACCAGACUCCUACGGGAGGCAGCAGUGAGGAAUAUUGGACAAUGGGCGCAAGCCUGAUCCAGCCAUGCCGCGUGCAGGAUGACGGUCCUAUGGAUUGUAAACUGCUUUUAUACAGGAAGAAACACCUCUACGUGUAGAGACUUGACGGUACUGUAAGAAUAAGGAUCGGCUAACUCCGUGCCAGCAGCCGCGGUAAUACGGAGGAUCCAAGCGUUAUCCGGAAUCAUUGGGUUUAAAGGGUCCGUAGGCGGUCAGGUAAGUCAGUGGUGAAAGCCCAUCGCUCAACGGUGGAACGGCCAUUGAUACUGUCUGACUUGAAUUAUUAGGAAGUAACUAGAAUAUGUAGUGUAGCGGUGAAAUGCUUAGAGAUUACAUGGAAUACCAAUUGCGAAGGCAGGUUACUACUAAUUGAUUGACGCUGAUGGACGAAAGCGUGGGUAGCGAACAGGAUUAGAUACCCUGGUAGUCCACGCCGUAAACGAUGGAUACUAGCUGUUGGGAGCAAUCUCAGUGGCUAAGCGAAAGUGAUAAGUAUCCCACCUGGGGAGUACGAACGCAAGUUUGAAACUCAAAGGAAUUGACGGGGGCCCGCACAAGCGGUGGAGCAUGUGGUUUAAUUCGAUGAUACGCGAGGAACCUUACCAAGGCUUAAAUGUAGAUUGACCGGUUGGAAACAG
rnacentral:rRNA from 1 species